GCAGUAUAUACAUUUUGUUCUCUUCUCCAGGUCUUAAAGACGCUUUGACAUUUUUUCAGUGAAAGAUCCAUCGGCAUACAUCACAUUCUAUGGACUAAGGACGUAUGGAUAUCUGGGUAAUAAAAUAGUAACAGAGCUUAUCUACGUGCACAGCAAGACUAUCAUCGUCGACGACACAGUGGCUAUUAUCGGAUCCGCCAACAUAAAUGACCGAAGUCUUCUGGGCAGAAGAGAUUCAGAGAUUGCCGUAUUGGUUCGAGACACACAUUUUUUGGACAAAGAAGAAGGAAGACCACACAAAGCUGGAAGAUUCUGCUACUCACUUAGAACUGCACUUUUCAGGGAACACUUGGGACUUAUGCAAAGCUCUGAGUUCCUUGUCGACAUUAGAGAUCCAGCCAGUGAUCGCUUCUACAGAGAAAUUUGGCAAAAAACGGCUACUGAAAAUGCCGAUAUUUACGAAGAGGUAUUUCAGUGUAUUCCCACGGACACAGUACGUAACUUCCACCAGCUCAGGGAAUACCAGGCAAAAGCCUCUUUAGCCAAUCUGAACGCUGUUGCAGCAAGAGAGAAAGCAAAGAAAAUCCGUGGACAUCUCGUUGCAUUUCCCAUGCUCUUUCUCUGCGAGGAAAAGUUGAAACCUACAUUAUCAGUAAAGGAACAUUACCUACCCAAUUCCGUAUGGACAUAAAUUAUAAUUACAUAAUAACAGUGUACAAAGAGACUACAAUCUGUUACUGCAAAUAUUAUUAGGGCUUGCCAUAAAACUGUUCAUUGUAAAUUCGAUAUCGAAUAUGAGCUGGCGCUUUUCCAUUUCAGUUUUAGCAUAUUAAGGUAAAAAGAUGUCUUAAAAAUAAAAAAAAGAAUAAUAAGAUACUACGUAAA